GGGGGGCGGGGGCGGGGGGCCGGGCACAGGCGGGUCGGGCGGCAGCACAGUGAGAGCUUGCUCGUGCGGGUGGCGAGUGGCGGGCGGGUGGGGACGACAUCGGAAUCUACUUUUUCGUGGGGGCGACCGUAGGGGAACUUACGCCCAUACCGCAUACGACCUACGGGUGAAAGCCGGGGAUCUUCGGACCUUGCGCGAUUGAAUGAGCCGAUGUCGGAUUAGCUAGUUGGCGGGGUAAAGGCCCACCAAGGCGACGAUCCGUAGCUGGUCUGAGAGGAUGAUCAGCCACACUGGAACUGAGACACGGUCCAGACUCCUACGGGAGGCAGCAGUGGGGAAUAUUGGACAAUGGGCGCAAGCCUGAUCCAGCCAUACCGCGUGGGUGAAGAAGGCCUUCGGGUUGUAAAGCCCUUUUGUUGGGAAAGAAAAGCAGCAGGUUAAUACCCCGCUGUUCUGACGGUACCCAAAGAACAAGCACCGGCUAACUUCGUG
rnacentral:rRNA from 1 species